GAGUUUGAUCCUGGCUCAGAUUGAACGCUGGCGGCAGGCCUAACACAUGCAAGUCGAGCGGUAGAGAGAAGCUUGCUUCUCUUGAGAGCGGCGGACGGGUGAGUAAUGCCUAGGAAUCUGCCUGGUAGUGGGGGAUAACGUUCGGAAACGGACGCUAAUACCGCAUACGUCCUACGGGAGAAAGCAGGGGACCUUCGGGCCUUGSGCUAUCAGAUGAGCCUAGGUCGGAUUAGCUAGUUGGUGGGGUAAUGGCUCACCAAGGCGACGAUCCGUAACUGGUCUGAGAGGAUGAUCAGUCACACUGGAACUGAGACACGGUCCAGACUCCUACGGGAGGCAGCAGUGGGGAAUAUUGGACAAUGGGCGAAAGCCUGAUCCAGCCAUGCCGCGUGUGUGAAGAAGGUCUUCGGAUUGUAAAGCACUUUAAGUUGGGAGGAAGGGUUGUAGAUUAAUACUCUGCAAUUUUGACGUUACCGACAGAAUAAGCACCGGCUAACUCUGUGCCAGCAGCCGCGGUAAUAC
rnacentral:rRNA from 1 species